GCUCUCUAGCUUAGGACUCUAUGUCCAGUCGGGUGUUUAGCCAGACUCUAAUUUAUUGAACGGU
rnacentral:sRNA from 1 species